UAGUCAUGCCAGUAAAUAGUAGUAUUAGUUA
rnacentral:piRNA from 1 species